rnacentral:rRNA from 1 species
UGUGAGCUUAAUUUUAGAGCAAUUCAAGUAAGGUACAGCCUGCUUGAAACAGGAUACAACCUAAAAAUGUGGGUAAUUAAAUCUUUCUGCCAUAAAGUGGGCCUAAAAGCAGCCACCUUUUGAAUAGCGUCACAGCUUAAUCACAUACAGAUUUAAUAACAAAAAUUUUACCGAACCCCACCCUACUACCAAGCAAUUCUAUAUUUUUAUAGAACUUUUUAUGUUAAAACUAGUAACAAGAAGAACCCCUUCUCUUUAAUGCAAGCAUAAAUCAGCCAGGACCAACCACUGAUAAUUAACACCUAUGAACUAAUAGUAACAACACUUCAAGAAAACCUUACUUCAUCUUAUGUUAACCUAACACAAGAGCAUUAUAAGAAAGAUUAAAAGAAAAAGAAGGAACUCGGCAAACAUUAACCCCGCCUGUUUACCAAAAACAUCGCCUCUUGAUUCUAAUAAGAGGUCCAGCCUGCCCAGUGACUUUGUUCAACGGCCGCGGUAUCCUAACCGUGCGAAGGUAGCGUAAUCACUUGUUCUUUAAAUGAGGACUAGUAUGAAUGGCACCACGAAGGUUAUACUGUCUCCUUUCUCUAAUCAGUGAAACUAAUCUUCCCGUGAAGAAGCGGGAAUAAACAUAUAAGACGAGAAGACCCUAUGGAGCUUUAAACAAGUAUACAACUGCCUUUCCUAUUUUAAAAUUUCAGAAAACAAACCAUUAUUUAGGCAUUUUGAUAUAAAGUUUUAGGUUGGGGUGACCACGGAGAAAAAUGUAACCUCCGCAAUGAACGGGACUUCCCCCCCUUAACUAAGAGCUACGACCCUAAGAAUCAAUAAAUUGACAUCAAUUGACCCAAUAAAUUUGAUCAAUGAACCAAGUUACCCUAGGGAUAACAGCGCAAUCCACUUCAAGAGCCCCUAUCGACAAGUGGGUUUACGACCUCGAUGUUGGAUCAGGGUAUCCUAGUGGUGCAGCCGCUACUAACGGUUCGUUUGUUCAACGAUUAAAACCCUACGUGAUCUGAGUUCAGACCGGCUAUUG